rnacentral:lncRNA from 1 species
CCAUGUACUAUUUUUCAAUGCCAUCCUACCAAAUAUUAGUGAUAUCCAUAAAAUCAAAUCUGCAUCCUGAUGUUGAAAUCUCUAGUUCAUUUUGGCUAUUACUGAGACUUGAUUUGUAUAUACCUGAAGCCACUGGAUCCCUUCUUGGCUUCUUUGUCUCUUAUAGAUUACUUGACAUUUUCUACUGUCUUUUUUUCUUUUUAUAUUAUAGUUGCUACUGUCUAAGGCAACAAUUCUCAAACUUCUUGAUCUCAAGAUCCUUUCAUACUCCUAAUGGGAGGACCCUAAAGUUUUUUAUGCAUCAUAAUCAUGUUCCAGUGUUGGCUCUUUAAGGGUAUGACUUUGCCACAUGUAUAUUUUGUGCAGCUCCUACUACAUAAGGAAUGCUGAGUAAAUAUCCAAGAUGGACUUCUUCGAAAGACAAAAGGAAAAGGGAAGCUUUGCUGCAAAAAUGGAAGUUGUAUCUCUCAGGAGGACAAUUUCUGUUCUACUUGUGUAAAACGGAAACCAUUAUAACCCACUUCGCCAAUGUCAUCUGUCCCUUUCCCUGGCUACUAUGGUAGUGUUAUAAAGAGAAACGGUAUCAUUAAGUACCCUUUACAUACCGUUGGCUGUUAUUUACUGCUGGAGAAUUGGGAAUGUAUACUCUCUGACUUGCCAGGAGGGACUAGCUUUAAUUCUAGAUAGCCCAAGUACCUUUUCUUAACUGACUCCCAUUGGGGACAGAAAUGCAAGGCUACAACCUCAAACUUUCUUUUCGGAGAAUAAUGCCAAUCUUGCCUCCUACUGAACCUUUUUUGAAAAUUAGAACUGUUAAAGAGUAAAAUUGAUGAAUCUGAAUUUCACUUCCUUUCCCUUUCCAGACCCUCCCUCUGGUGGAAGAGACGUGAAAUAGCCAAAAAAAAAAAAAGACAGAAUGGAGGGGGAGAAACAGGGGGGCCUGAAUGAUUAACAAACUCAAUGAUUAAU